CCUACGGGAGGCAGCAGUGGGGAAUAUUGGGCAAUGGGCGCAAGCCUGACCCAGCAACGCCGCGUGAAGGAAGAAGGCCCUCGGGUUGUAAACUUCUUUUGUCCGGGACGAAACAAAUGACGGUACCUGACGAAUAAGCCACGGCUAACUACAUGCCAGCAGCCGCGGUAAUACGUAGGUGGCAAGCGUUCUCCGGAUUUACUGGGUGUAAAGGGCGUGUAGGCGGGAGAGCAAGUCAGAUGUGAAAUUCCAGGGCUCAACCCUGGAACUGCAUUUGAAACUGUUUUUCUUGAGUGAUGGAGAGGCAGGCGGAAUGCGGGGUGUAGCGGUGAAAUGCGUAGAUAUACAGAGGAACACCAGUGGCGAAGGCGGCCUGCUGGACAUUAACUGACGCUGAGGCGCGAAAGCGUGGGGAGCAAACAGGAUUAGAUACCCGGGUAGUC
rnacentral:rRNA from 1 species